GCCGCCCUUCAUUCACCCACAUGGUUCAAGGCAGGUCGCCUUCGCGCCACUUUUGCAAUUUUACUACGAUUAAGAAAGUCGUUUUAGCAGAAGUUUCACUUCACUUUGGAUGCGCGCCGCGUGCGUUACGUUCGAGCUCGGUCCACUUUUAAGUUUACGCACCAGUUUCGCAGAUUUGUCCAGAGCUGUGGCAGUAAACGGCAAGUGAAGAUGGUGGAUUUCACUGAAACCUCAAGAAAGAUGGGAGUAGUUUCCCGCAAGUUCACUGGAGGCUUUGUCCACUGGACGUUGUUGUGUUGAUGGUGUGGACGUGGUUGGAGUCAGUGUAUUGUCAAAGUGCUUACAGUGCAGGUAGUAUUAUGGAAUAUCUACUGCAGUGGAGGCACUUCUAGCAAUACACUUGGCCAUUGCUUUUUCCCUCCGCCAAACAUCCUUCACCAAGACCCCAUACUAACGGCUUUGUGCUAAGGUGCAUCUAGUGCAGAUAGUGAAGUAGACUAGCACCUACUGCCCUAAGUGCUCCUUCUGGCACGAGGGACUGUGACUUUCAUCCUUGUUUGCAAAUUAAGUCAUAGUUUUUCUUGUCUUUUGGUGCAGUUCUCUGCUAGUUUUGCAUAGUUGCACUACAAGAAAACCGGAGUUGUGCAAAUCUAUGCAAAACUGAUGGUGGCCUGCUGCUUCUCCACGUUUCCCAAAUUUCAGUUGGAAGUCUGAAAAGCGGUGUCCCCCACCAACCAUUCUUUUAAAUAAAACCUGCCAUUGUGUUAGAGUUUCAGCAGUGCUAAAGUGCUUAUAGUGCAGGUAGUAUUUCUGUCAUCUACUGCAGUGUGAGCACUUGAAGUACUUCUAGCUAAAUGCAUCUGGGAUCUGAAGACCCUUGCCGAACACUCCUAGGUCUCUGGACGCUGUGUAUCCUUGCUGGACCCCAGUCAGUUUUGCUGGUUUGCAUCCAGCUUAAGACAGCGCGCUGUGCAAAUCCAUGCAAAACUGACAGUGGCAGCCCAUCCAAGAACCGCUUUUGGAGCCGUUUGGUCCCUUUCUGCACAGGUUGGGAUUAGUAGCAAUGCUGUGUGUUUGGAAGGUAUUGCACUUGUCCCGGCCUGUAGAGGAUUGUGGAGAUUGUACCCCACAAUUUAAAUUCCCUAGAAUACCCAUUCUUUUCCAUAAAUGCAGUUUUUACUAUAUUUUUUUUUGUGAGCUUGAAUAUUCAGGAGUUUUCUUUUUUUUUUAUACAUUGUAUGUUUUUAAAUGAAAACAUUGUCAAUAAACGAUUAAGAUAUG